GAUUCGGACCCUGCCGUCCAUUGUAUUUGCCGUCCCCGGGUCCCUUGUGCCUCUGGGACUCACGGGUGUGAGGAAACGUCUCCCACCUCGGCACUGAGUCACUGAGAAAAACACCCAAGAGCACAAACGGAAGACUGCACGCUUCUCUCCGUAAUGACACCGAUGCAUCGGUCAGGGGGCUCCGCGUGUGGCUGUUACCUUGUCCCCGAUUCUCUUCUCUGAGCCGAAGCGUCACCAACACGGCGUGGGGGCCAGGUCUUCCCAUCUGCGUAGCCCAGGCUGCCAAGCAACAAGGCAGGUGUUUACAAAACACAUUGGCUGGAUAAGAUGCUUGUCCGAAUGCCGUAUCUCGAACUUUCGUCUCCUCUGGAAGGACGUAAUAUCCUGUGACGGAAGUCCACAUAAUUGCCCAUUAAAACAUUGGCGUGAAGUCUGAGUCUAGGAAUCCUGUCAAGGAAAGAAACGAUCCUCUCCCCCCUUCCUGGGUCCUAGUUACCAUGGUUUCCUCUUCAGACUGUUAUCUUAGCAACCUGUUCUAGACUCUUCGCAGGGAUCUACUUCAAAUUCACCAGUCUGUAGUUGGCCUCAAAGGGAACUUCCGUUUCACGUGGUUAUUGAAACGCCACUUAAUCACUUCUGGGAUCUGCGUUCUUUUCUCCUGCUCUGUUUGUCGAAGAUCACCAAGAUGUCCCCCAUUCACAGAAGCUCCCCGGCCUCUGAGGUCUCCCUCAAGGCCGUGGUGGCGCCCACAACUUUCCUGUGCAGCAUCGGGAACGCUUUCAACUCCCACACAGCCCGUUUGCCUGAGCGUCGCCCUGACCCGGAAAACGCAAGAGCGUGUCGGAGUGAGUAUGGCUCACAGGGAGGAAAGGGCCUGCCGGGAGCCAGGAGGGCAGCCAGGCCAGGUGUUGGGGGCAUCUGGGCACAGAAGCCAGGACAGUAUGUGGCCAGUGUCAGCCUCCUCCUCCGGGGACUACCUUGAAAGCCCACGGUACCUCCUACCGCAGCCACCCGAGCAAUCUGGGAUCCCACACAAGCGUGCCGUGCCUUCUGGAGAGGAAGUGUUUAGGAAUAUUUUAGAAACAACAACAACGAAAACAAGAACAAAAACAAAACCGGCUGCCAGAGGCUGAAACUCAGAAAUCUCAAAAUUCUUAUGCAUCCCCAGACCUUCUAAACAAUACGAAUAUUCUCCUUGGCAGCCAAUGGAAAUGAAGGCGAGUUACCCCGGAAGGAAGGUGUGCAGGGAAUUGGCAGUGUUGUGCCCAGAGCCACAGGUGCCUCCUCCAAAAGGC